CAUAAAUCCUAUUAGCCGAGGAUUCUCUGAGGCAUUAUAAGUCAUUUUCCCAACUUUAAUUGUUUGCAAACAAAAAUACUCCACAUCAAAAGCUCAAAGUCUUAAAGUUAGGUUUUAAUACCGAGGCUACUGUACAGAUUAAAAGAAAAAAAAUCUUUUAUACUUUAUACCUCUUGCUGUUUUGGUUCAGAAGUUCAGAUUAAUUAUUUAAACUGUGAAAGUAAGCAGCUGCUUUAAAACACAUCCCACAGUUCCCGUGUGGUGGUGGUGGUGGUGUAACCUGCUUCCCUGUCACCUCGGGCUCAUGUGUUACCGCAGAUUGAAAAUGGCAGGGCCGGCCCAAGAGACGGAAGUUAAGACCGCUCGGUCAGAGGUCGUGUCACCUCUGCAUGGUGGGAAACCGUGUGCCCGGCUCAGAAAUGAACACUUUGCGCUGUUUCACACAUCCGUGAUAAUAUUUGUUUAAUUCAGGUCAGCUCUCUUCAGUUCAUCAGUGUGUGGGGUAGUGUACUUGAAGAAAAUGGUUUGAUUGAGACAAAAGAAGAUUUUUUUUUAUGCUGGUGUUUGCAUCAAAUUUUAUGUCUAUCUGUCAGCUUUUUUCUUUAUUGUAGUCCAAAUAUAUUGAAGGUAUUUAAUAGUAAUAAAAAAAAAUAUAGUAAAGCAAAGAUCUGGAGUUCGAGUGAGCAUUAAUGUUCUCACUCUAACUCCAAAUAUCAGGCCCUUGUACAGCAAAAUUUUGUAUUUUGGCCUGGACAACCCAAAAUAUGAUGUCCACAUAUGUGGACGCCGGGUCCUAGGAGGUUAAAAUGUGUUUUUCAUGUUCAGCUUUCCCACACGUUAACCGAUUGUUGUGUCAGCAGGCUUUCCUCACUCUCUGGGGUGCAUUUUCACACGCGGGUGUAAGUGGGCAGCAAACGACUGCUGAUGGCAAAUUACUGGAUGGCAGCAUGGAGAGGAAAGCACAAAUGAGAAUCACUGCAUUGUGCACGCCGAGUCUAAAGUGGCUUUGUUAGCUUUAAUCCAAAACGCUUGUCCUAAUUAUAUUUCUGCAUUACCUUUGAAUGCAGUGAAUGAACAUUUUGUGCCUCUGUUGUACUCCCUAACACAACAAAUUUGCAGGACCGCAGAGCCGCGGGGCUUUUGUUGGUGCGAGGGUUUUGCUGCAUGCCAGUCGGAGCCAUCUGACCAGCCCACGGGGGUCAUCAGAGGAGAGAGGAGUUUUGAUUAUAAUCAUUAUUUGGGUUUCAGCUUCGGCUGCCAUGUGCUAGUUUGCCUGAGCCUGGCACUUCUUACUCGCAGGUGGGUUUUUCAGAUAAAGGCAUGAAUGCGCUGAAAAGGAAGAAAUGAUAGCUUCGAGGUCCAUCGCAGAGUUCCUUGUCAUCCAUUGUGUUUCCUGACUUUAACCAACACAAAACAGCUGCCGAUUGAAAAGCGGUGUUUUCUUUCCGUGAAGAGGGGAUGAACUUUCUGUUGAAGUGAGGCUGAAUCAAAGUUUCACAUCGGGUCGCAUUGUUCCUCAUAGAAUAAAUAGAAGUAUUUAUUUAGCAUGUUCAUUAUCAACAUGUUUUCUAGUGUGAGAAGACCCAAUGGAGAGUCCCAUUGAGUGGAGAAAUGAAAAAGGAGGUUUUUUUCUCUCUCUUUCUAUCCCCAUUUUUUUCUGUUACAAUGAUGCUCCAGGUGCCAUGGGGAUCCCAGGGCCCAACAGGGGGGAGCAAAGGCACCAUAAACAAAGACCACUUCAGCUGCACGCCUGUGGUCCCCUCAGACUCCCUCGGGGCCAAACAAAGACCAACAUAAAUGUGGGAUCCUUAUUGCAAGAAUAAAACUAAACACUUAUUUUAAAAAAGCAGAAUAAUACAGAAUGCCGUGCAAUGUCUGGCUCCCCAGGAUCUCUAAUUAAGCGUGCACCAGUGAUCCUGAGAUUCUUGAGUUGAGGUUUUGUCAUAAGGAGCAUUCAGCACUGGUAAAUAGGCCCUUCUGGUACACCGAACACGCUGUUAUUAUUGGAGACGAGUGGCACCUCACUUAUAGCGACGUGAAAGGGAUGCUUGGGUGGCACACUCAGCGUAAUUCUGCGCAGGGAAAAAUGAUUCAAAAGGUGCUUUACAAUCUGCAAUCAGUCGGAGGGCCGUGUAAGAUUCCUACAUUUUAAGCCAGGAUGCCACCCAGUUUAAAUAAGGGGUGGUUAAUUAAA